AUGUGCGCGAUGGACUCAGGUACCGCCGUUAGAUACUGAGAGGUAAGAGGGAACUCCGUGUAAAUCGGAGAGGGACCCGCCGCUGUAAUGGGGACGACCGCCACCUUACACCACUGGGGUAUUGAUACCUGGGUGGUGAGCCAGCAGGGCGAACCGGAAGUCAGAGGACCUGUUUAAGCAACCGCCGCACA
rfam:Tncultured Desulfofustis sp. PB-SRB1 scaffold_311, whole genome shotgun sequence.